GACGAACGCUGGCGGCGUGCCUAAUACAUGCAAGUUGAGCGCUGAAGGUUGGUACUUGUACCAACUGGAUGAGCAGCGAACGGGUGAGUAACGCGUGGGGAAUCUGCCUUUGAGCGGGGGACAACAUUUGGAAACGAAUGCUAAUACCGCAUAAAAACUUUAAACACAAGUUUUAAGUUUGAAAGAUGCAAUUGCAUCACUCAAAGAUGAUCCCGCGUUGUAUUAGCUAGUUGGUGAGGUAAAGGCUCACCAAGGCGAUGAUACAUAGCCGACCUGAGAGGGUGAUCGGCCACAUUGGGACUGAGACACGGCCCAAACUCCUACGGGAGGCAGCAGUAGGGAAUCUUCGGCAAGGGACGAAAGUCUGACCGAGCAACGCCGCGUGAGUGAAGAAGGUUUUCGGAUCGUAAAACUCGGUUGGUAGAGAAGAACGUUGGUGAGAGUGGAAAGCUCACCAAGUGACGGUAACUACCCAGAAAGGGACGGCUAACUACGUG
rnacentral:rRNA from 1 species